UGUUGUGUGGCUUAGUUGGUUAAAGCUCCGCGCUGGUCUAGCAAAUACGGAAUCGUGGGUUCGAAUCCCACCAAAACGC
rnacentral:tRNA from 1 species